AUGUGGCUGGGAGUUCUUGGCGAUGUGGGGGCCAAGUUCCAAGGACGAGAACCUGAACAGAGAGGCAGAGACAGAGAGUGCGUGCGAGCACAGCAGGGCAGCCACAUGGCCGUGUGCUCCGGCUCAGAGCCACACUGCGCACCUGCACCGCACGCUGUUGGUCAGGGUGCAAGGACGUCCUCCCCACGUUCAAGCAGAGACGCUGCAGACGUCACCUCUCGCUCAGUGGCGGUUCUGAGGCUCUUCUCCGGUAUUGCUGUGACAGUAAGGAAACGCGGAACCAUAGCAGCCUGUGUGGCUCCUGUGACAGACACUCAUAGGAACUGUACAUCCAGGGCUGUGUUUCGUGCUCAAAUCCCAGCUGCGUCACCUCACUGGCCUUGGGACCUCGAGCAGGUCUGUUCGUCAGUUCGUGCUUUCGUUUCCACCCCGCUGGAGAGUGAGGAGUGACUGUCGUCUGUGGGCAAUGGGGAGGCAGUGAGUGCUGAUGGGGCCGUGUUCUAGGAACUUUAACCUGCAGCAGAAUAUGUUGGCUCCAAGCUGGGAGAGUGGCCAAGAGGCUGCGGUAAUUGUGCCAGCGAGAGGUUGUUCCAGCCUCAGCACUGGUGCUAACACACACAGCUGCAAGCAACACUGUGGAAACGGGACAGGAGGUGGCAAGGAUUGGAGCGGGCAGCACACAGGCAGGACAGGGGCCCAGGAGGCUGGGGGCUUCUGGGCUGGAGGAAUGGGAGUUCUCAGGGCCACCGAGAGGAACAGGGAGUGCAGGAGAAGCUGAGUUCCCACUUCUACACGCUGGGAGCGGGAUGGCGCCGAGCCCUGAGAUUGCUGUUGGGAGCCUGAGCCUCUUGCGAACUGGCCAACUGGUUUGGGACAGCCCUGAUCGGCGGCUGGGCUAUGAACCUUGGGUCCCCCACAACACGGUCCACUUUGGAGCUUGGUUCCCCAUAGUUGGCUCUGUUCUGUGCCAUCCAACUAUCCUGCUUUGCUCCAUGCUGCUCUCUCCACCUAUCACUUUUUUUUGGAAUGGAAGCCAAGAGAGGAAGACCACUAUGGAGACCGCAACCUGCCCAGUGGAGGGAGAAGCCCCUUUCAGCUUCAGCCAAGCUCAAGGGCUAAGCCCAAGGGGCGCCUUUGGCUGUGGCCCCCAUCCGCAUGCACACCAUCCCCCAGCCAGGAAGGAAUUCUCGUCCAGCUGGCAGAGGUGCAAGGUGCCUUGUCGUGGGUGAACUGGGCUCACCUGGUGGGCAGCAGUGGGUGGGUGCUGAAGGGGGCUGUCAAAGGGCCCAGCUGGAGGGGCAGGCAAGUGAGAGUAGAGCAAAAGACCCAGUGCCAGGUCAUUGGACCCCCGGGCCAGGUGAGCACUGCCAGAGCCAGCAUCUUAGGAUGGCACCUCUACCGCUUUGUGUUCCCAAUCCCGAGUGUAGGAACCCGGAACUUAGUAAGUGCUCAACAAACAUCUUGGAUGAAUGAAUCAAGAAAUGCCAGAUGACUAAGCCCGAUUUGCCUGGGAGGACGGGGUGGUGGCUAGGAGGGAGGGUUGCCUGCAUACUCGCCCCAGGGCUCUGUGUGUGUGUGUGUGUGUGUGUUGUGGGGGGGGGGGCUGUGAGACAAGGUCCAGCCACAAACCUCUGGCUGCCUACCUGCAAGCAGGAAGCAGAGCUGACAUCGGCGGAGAGAGGCUUCGAGGGGUGGGGAUGCAGCCGCAGCCUCCAUUACAGCAAGACAGGCGGUGGGGGGAGGCCCUGCCAGGCUGCUUGCCCAAGAAAACCAGCCUGCUGGUCAGCCUGGCUCCCGGGACAGAGGUUGCAGACCUGGGCAACCAUGGCAGUGUAUGGUAUGCAAAUCUAUGCAAAUGAGAGCACAAAAAGCACCUCUGGUACUCCCAGGAAAGGCUAUUAGUGUCCAUCGCUGGACAGAGGUCCCUGGCAGCAAGGACUCCCAUCAUUACACCACCGCCCUAAGCCCUGCACCCCUAAAAUCCUCCUGGAUGCGGGUCUCCCUCCAGGUUAGCCAGAGACAGAAGGGAGGAGCAGCUACAGACUUGCAAAUACACUGUGUUGUUUGAUGUGUGCCCAGUUGUCCGAGAGGAGACUGUGACCCCCAAACUGGGGUCUGAAAAGCCUGCUGAUGACAGUGUGAGCUCUGCGCCUGUGCCCGCGUGUGGGUGGGGGCUGGGGCUCAGAGGUCCUGGAGCUCCCGUGGGAGGGAGGAGAGAGCACUGGGCGUGGGUCCAACCAGCCAUCCCCAUGCCUGCUGCAGCAGGAGACAGCCAGGGAGCAGGGCUUCCUUGGCCUUGGGGAGGACAGUUUCACCCUGGAGCCCAAGAGGCGCUGGGUUCAAGGUCAUAGCAAAGAUCUUGUACUGCCAGAGACCAGAGAAGAUGCGGGGUGAGAGAUGAGGGAGCUCUAGAGGGCGCAGGGAUCUCCGGUGAUGGAGGAAGCACCUGAGGCUGGAGGGGGGCCCUCUGUGCCACAGAGACAAUGGCUGGGCUGGAGGCUCCCUCCCUCCCCCAACCCACAGGAGCGUCCCCGGGGCAGGCUCUGCCCUUGCCACUCGGGAACUGGCGGCACACAUACUGACCUCAGACGGGGCACACAGAUCCUCCUCUGGUGGACUUGAAGCCCAGAGUGGAGAGUGGAAGUGGAGCAGAUCCUCUCAAGUGACAGAGGGUGAGGGCAGGAGAACACAUGGUGUCUGAUCUGUCCUGGGCGAGCAUCGGAGAGACCUGAAGCAUGAACAGGAGUUAGCCAAGAGGAGGCUGGGGAUGGAGAAGGAGUGGGGAGGUCAGCCCCACCAGGAGGACUGAGAAUUGCAAAGGUCCUGCGGUAGGAAAGAGUGGAGGGCUCCUAGGAGCUGUGCACGUGAACAAGGGGUCGGGGGUGCAGGCUGAGGUCAAGGGGCACUGUGGGCUGCAUUCAGGACUUUGGACUUGAACAUGAAGGUGAUGGAAACCAUUCACGAGUUUGAAUCAGGGAGUGGCAUGAUCAGACCUAUCAUGUCAGGAUGUUCCUGUCUCGAUGCUGGAGAAUGGGCCUGGGAGGGGGCACUGUGACCACGGUGUCCUUGAACGGCCUUUGCAGUGCUGCUGUGGUCACCGUGCAAGGAGGUCCUGCCAGACCCGAGACACGGAAAAUCACCAGGAUCACAGGAAAGGAGUCUGCCUCUACCUGGUCCUCUGGUGGUGGCAUACAAAGUAGCCAUGGUCCUCAGGCUGGGGGCAGACCGGGCUGCAACCCGCAGUGCUCCUCUUGUUCUGCUUCUGCCCAGGGUGGGAGGGAUCGGGGGCUCCCUUGCAUGGCUGGCCCCCUGCCCUGGUCCUUGACACAAGGAUUCUCGUACUCUCCCUGGGGUCCUGCCAUUUAUCACCCUCCCCUACCCCAUACACACAGCCAGGGCACCUGCUUGGCCUGGCACCCCUGACACACACCUGCAGCUGAAACCAUGUCCUUAGCGCCCCUUGCAGCCGGAGCGGCUCGCGUCAGUCUGCCUGCUGUGGCCCUUGUUGCGUGGUUCCCACAUUCCAGGGUCCCCCGUGCUCCUGCCGUGGGACCGCUUUUCUACUCCAACAAGCAGAGCCUGCCGAGGGACAAGCCUGGCAUUCGGAGGAGUGGUCCCUGGCCAGUCGUAUCUUACUCUGUAGUUACAGACGGCGCAGACAGGGUUGUGCAUGGGCUGUAAAACCAGACAGCAUGUGACAUUUAACUCAAGAUGAAAAGAACCCGUCAGUCAGAGCUGCUUGUGCUCAUCCAGAUGUUGCCGGAAACAGCUGUAUGCCAUCUGCCCGAGGGGGUGCCAGCAGCUGGAACAGCCCUCCUCAGGGCCAGGAAGGCAGACAGAGGUUGGAGGCCAAUCCGAGUGACAGAGGAGAGAUGGAGGCAGACGCAGGACGGGGGGGGGGUGGGGGCUCCCCAGGCUUGUUUAUGCUAACAAAGGCGAGUAAUGAAUUACUGAUAAGUGGCCUCUUUUAAAGGGAAAUUAUUCAAGAGAGCAGGUGAGAACCUGUAGACAUUCAUCUUCUGGGCUCUGGGAGCCGGCUGGGAGAUGGGGAGAGGUGAGGGAGAUGAUUCAUGGGCCGGCCCCGUCAUCCGUCACACGGGUGUCCUCGGCCGGGGGCAAGCAGGAUGGAUGGGCCCGGUCUCGGCUUGGCAGUGGUGGGACUCUGCCAGCUCCAUCCCACCAGCCAGGCCAACGAGGCUGGUGUGGGGCAGAGGCUGGACUGAACUUGCCGGAAAACGCCUUUGUCCAGGUGUGGUUCAAGCUCGGUGGACAGGAAGAAAUUCCUGCCUUAGGCACCAGGGGUCUUGUGAGAGGCCUUGAGUGCUAAGGCCAGCCUUGGAAAAGUAGGUGAGCAGCGCUGAUUGGUCUGGGAGUCGGGAGCCCAGUGCCAGGCUCAGCUCUGCCUCUCUCCCCAGCUGGCCCCGUUUGCAAAGGUCAGCAAAUCUGAACUUGUGCUCUGGUGAGCCCCUGGGGGCGACCUUUGGACAUAUGGUUAACCUACAUGGUGUUUGUACGUGGUAUGUUUUAGAUCUGAUGUAGUUGUUCACUUUAAGAGAAACCCCAGGGGCCGGCGCCGUGGCACAGCAGGUAAAGCCACCAUCCGCAGCACUGGCAUCCCAUACGGCUACUCCACUUCAGAUCCAGCUUCCUGUUAAUGACCUGGAAAAGCAAUGGAGGAUGGCCUAAGUGCUUGAGCCCCUGUGCCUACAUGGGAGACCGUAAGAAGCUCCUGGCUCAUGGCUUCGGCUUGGCCCGGUCUCAGCCAUUGCAGCCAUCUGGAGAAUAAACCAGCGGAUGCAAGAUCUUUCUUUGUCUCU
ensembl:lncRNA